UACGUAGGGCGCAAGCGUUGUCCGGAAUUAUUGGGCGUAAAGAGCUCGUAGGCGGCUUGUCACGUCGGGUGUGAAAGCCCGGGGCUUAACCCCGGGUCUGCAUUCGAUACGGGCAGGCUAGAGUGUGGUAGGGGAGAUCGAAUUCCUGGUGUAGCGGUGAAAUGCGCAGAUAUCAGGAGGAACACCGGUGGCGAAGGCGGAUCUCUGGGCCAUUACUGACGCUGAGGAGCGAAAGCCAGGGGAGCAAACGGG
rnacentral:rRNA from 1 species